AUGAAGGACGCCUCCUUCGACGAGCCAGCGCCACUCUCUUCUUCCUCCGCGGCACCCUCGCCGGUGCAUUGCACCCUGACCAUCGACGAGGCCCGUGCCCAUUAUAUGGACAUGGUGCGGGAGGAGCAGUUUCAGGAAGAGCAGGCCGACACCAACUACAACCACAACCUCCUCCAGAAGCAUCGGCAGGAGGAGGAGCAGGUCACUGCCGGCAGGGCGAUCGCCCCGUACGUGGACAUGGCAGAGCAGGAGGCACUGUUCGAGUCCCGCCGCUCUGCCCGCGAGAUCCGCCUCGCCCGCUGGUGGUACCGGCAGCGGGUCUUGGAGGUAGUGGCCACGGCAAGGAGCGCGAGGACGACGCGGGCGAGGCGUUGUUCGGCGACACCUACAAUGAGGAGGCCGCGCCCCGGCGCCACGACCACGAAGAAUCUGACACAUCCGCGGGCGUUGCUGGCAGUGAGAAAGAGUAGUGCGAGGUCGCCGCCGCUCGGGUCCCAAUAA
rnacentral:rRNA from 1 species